rnacentral:rRNA from 1 species
ACUGUGAAACUGCGAAUGGCUCAUUAAAUCAGUUAUCGUUUAUUUGAUAGUACCUUACUACUUGGAUAACCGUGGUAAUUCUAGAGCUAAUACAUGCGCCCAUACCCGACUUUGUGGAAGGGUUGUGUUUAUUAGUUACAGAACCAACCAAGGCUCUGCCUUGUCUUGUGGUGAUUCAUAAUAACCGAACGAAUCGCAUGGCAUCUGCUGGCGAUGAAUCAUUCAAGUUUCUGACCUAUCAGCUUCCGACGGUAGGGUAUUGGCCUACCGUGGCAAUGACGGGUAACGGAGAAUUAGGGUUCGAUUCCGGAGAG